AAAAUUGUAUCGAAUUAGAUUAAUUCAACAAGCAAAAAAAAUCUUCAAAUUAUCCAGAACAAAUUCUACAAUGUUUAAAAUAGACAACAACAACAACAAAUAUAUUUACCACACGCACGAACAUGUAAGAUUUGAAAGAAAAAUUUUCUUCCGAAGGAAGUAUUAUCAUAAAAAAAGUGGGAAAAGAUCAUUUUUAAGUUAUUUAAAAAAAAACAAAAAAAUCCAAUCAAAAUUUUCUUCUUCGUGAAUCUGGGCAAAGUUGACCAUCAUCGUUUUAUGAUUUUCAACGAUGUUGAAAACAAAUCCCACAAUCUUUCUGUCGUGUGUGUGUGUGUGUGAGUUUGCGAUCAACAUGCAUGAAGACCGAGAC